UACAGAGGGUGCGAGCGUUAAUCGGAAUUACUGGGCGUAAAGCGCGCGUAGGCGGCUUUGCAAGUCGGGUGUGAAAUCCCCAAGCUUAACUUGGGAACUGCAUUCGAGACUGCAUUGCUAGAGUAUGGGAGAGGGAAGUGGAAUUUCCGGUGUAGCGGUGAAAUGCGUAGAGAUCAUGAGGAAGACCAGUGGCGAAGGCGGGUCUCUGGACAGUUCCUGACACUGAGGCACGAAGGCCAGGGGAGCAAACGGG
rnacentral:rRNA from 1 species